rnacentral:lncRNA from 1 species
AGAAUGAUUGCCUAACAUAAGUGCCGCAUGCGGCGAUUUGAUACUUUAAUGUGGCUCUAACAAGUUUUGAUGUCUGCGGCGAGGGUGAGUCAGUUGAGACAUUACAGCACCCCCCCACCCCCCGCUUUUUCUUGUGAAACUAUUAUGUCGCCGUAAAUACUGCAGCACCGAGACGGAUUUCAUUUCAGCUCUGCUGAUUCACAAGUGAACGAGACGGAGGUGUGUGUGUUCAUAUGUGUGUGUGUGUUUGUGUGUGUGUGUGUGUGUGUGUGUCCAUGCUGAACAACCAAACAGGAUAUCCUGAUGCCCAAGGCCUGUCGCUAACAUCGCUCCCCUGUCACCCUUGAGCAUAAGGCCGAGCUGAGGCAUGCGUUUCUGCGAAGCCUUUGUUCCAGAGCUCCCUGCUUUUGCUGUUUCACUUGAAGGUGUCCUUUCAAACUGCAUUAAUCAAAGCUCAGGCCAGCGCACUAAAAUAUCCCUAAAUAAAUUUGUAUAACAGUAUGCGAGGGCAUGUUGCUGUAUCCUGCUCAGUGGCCUCUCCUUUGCACAGUGGUUCCCUUUUCCUGCUUCCAACUCUGCUUGUCAGACUGCCAUCAACAAUGUGAGGUCCUGGGGGCUGCUUGAGCCCAUCCCAGCGGUCAUUAGACGACAGGCGGGAAAACACCUUGGGCAGGUUGCCUGUCCAUCACAGCCGGUCCCCCACUAUUACACAUUUCCUCAUCUCAUGGAGAGUUCACAGAGGUCCACCAUGGAUGCAAAUAUUUCCAUCUGCAAAAUGUAUUCUGAGUGCAAUCUGAGUAUAUUUUAAAUCCUUGUCCCUCACGACACAUGUUAAGAAUUUAGAUUUAAGUCAAUAUGUGCAAGAGGUUUGACGCUCCUCGCCCCAAAAAGAAACAUCUUUAAUGGCAGAAUCCCGGAUUUGGCAGCAUUGGGACGGAAUAAUGGAGGUGGCUUACCGCAUUUUAUACUCCCGAGCUUUGAAAAUGUCUGACGUUUCAAAUGAAAACAUUUAUAUCUGAGGCACGGCAGUCGGGUGUUCUGACGGCUCGGUUCGUAUACACAUUUCCUCCUCAGCGCUCUUCGUUGUCAGGCUGGGAAACGACAACAAUCGGCCUAAUUUAAAAGGUGAGUGUACGAGAAGUUCAGGCAAUCCGAGCGUGUCUCGGGAAGUUUCUUUGACCCCGUUACCCCCCCCCCCCCCCCCCCCCCCCCCCUUUGUCUGCACAUAAUCAACCUACCUGCAGCAAAUGGGAAA